ensembl:lncRNA
ACAGUCCGUGCGUGUAGGAGAUGUGCCGCGGUCCCGUUCCUUGAUAAAAAGAAUCUUGGCCAUGGAUGGAGCUGCACAGCCUCAUGAAUUCAUUUUCAUUGAUGAAGCUGGAUUUGACCUGUGCAGAACAAGAUGACGGGGUCGUACUGUAAUUGGCCAAAGGGCAAUUGGGGUAGCGCGGGGGAAAUAUCACAUUGUGUGCCGCCAUAAGCCUUCGAGGGCUUCUGCAUCAUCAUACAAAACUAGGUCCAUACAAUAGCCAACAUAUACUCACAUUUCUAAAUGCUCUCCAUGAUAUAGUUGUACAGAACAGAGCAGAUCAGCCCAUGUUUGUAGUGAUAUGGGAUAAUGUCAGUUUCCAUCGGGCUGCUCUGGUCCAGGCCUGGUUCUCCAACCACAACCAACUUGAAGUGGUAUACUUGCCCCCUUACUCACCAUUUUUAAACCCUAUAGAGGAAUUUUUUUUGGCUUGGAGAUGGCGUGUAUAUGACCGCCAACCACAUGCCCGCAUGCCUCUUCUGCAGGCAAUGGAACAGGCCUGCGGCGACAUUCAGGUGACAGCAAUCCAUGGAUGGUUUCGACAUGCAAGAGGAUAUUUUCCCCGGUGCCUAGCAGGAGAAGACAUUGCUUGCGAUGUCGAUGAGGUCCUGUGGCCAGACCCCAAAAGACGGCGGGAUCCAUGAGCCCACGUAUGCACAAUUGUCAUGAUUUUUUGUGUUCACAGUAUGGUGUUUUUUCUAUUACUGUAUUGUGUUUGUUUGUUUGUUUUUGCUUUAUCUGAAUUCAUGGUACUGCAAUGUACAGUGCUGCAAUGUACAAUAUUGAGUCCUAUUGGCUUUUUUGGUUGUUUGAAAAUGUGUCUCCUGAAAAUAUGCCUUCUGAAUAAACAAUGAACAUCAAA